CUCCUGCUCCCGCGGGCCUUGGGCCUUUACCUAAUGCAGCCAUGUCAUCGCUUCUGAAAUGUAAAGCCAAACUGCUUCUCAGAAGAGGAGAUCUGAGCUGUGGGAUCACACGUGUAGUCGAGCACUCCAGCUUUUUGGCUGUUUGCUUGUAUUUGAAUCACAAGUUUCGUGCCAGCGAUAUAAAAAGAUUGUUAACAAAUGGCCAUUAAAACCGAAGACCUUGAAACUAAUUACACACAACGCUCAAAAAGAACUCGCUCUGCUAAUUGAGCGGAGCUCGUUACUUGUGAAGUAGGGAGGCUCAGCCUCCACUCACGGUGGAACAUACGGCAGGCUACGCGCGCAGCAGUCACAUCUGAACUGUUACACUUCAAAGGGCCGGGCGACGAUUGAUGUGUUACUGUCUGAGGAUGGCAACAGCUCAAAGGCAGAGAGAAACUGCAAAAGUUUUAAGUUUGAAGCUGAAGCGCGGACUUCAGAAGAGUUCGGCUUUGCACCGACUGAUUAGAGUAUAAGAAUGCAGUAAAUACAAUUUAAAAGUUAAAUUACCAUCUGGUCACAGCUAGAGGUAGAUUUCAGAAGCAGCACAAGUAAAUAGUUUCUUGCUCUCUGAACAAAUAAUUUUACAUUUCAACUAAGCCAUGUGGUAACUGGUACAAUUGAUUUCUGCUUGUAGUCAGUUACUGAACGGUUUCACAAUUGAUUUCAAUAGCCCUAGGAUGAAACUCUAUCUGCCAAGCAUACAAUGUUUGGUUGGUGCAGAUUGCAUUCAUACUGCUAAAAGCAAAAAAAAAGCUAUGGAAGGAAAUUGCCAUCUUGCGUUCAAGAGCCACGUGGAUGUGGCACUGGGGGACGUGGUCAGUGGGCAUGGCGGUGGUGGGCUGACGGUUGGACUGGAUGAUCUCAGAGGUCUUUUCCAACCUCGGUGAUCCUGUGAGUGCUGCAAAACCUGGAGCUGAGUUUGGCAUUAAAGCAGCGUGCUGUCUGUGCUGGAGGAGCUGUGGCGAGGCAGCGAUCUGCACAGCCCAGAGCCCCUCACUCUGUGCAGCCAAAUAGGAGUGGGGCUUUGGAGUUACCGGGAGCACUGCAACAGAGCCAAGAUGGAAUGCUUUGCUGGGCUGAGCUAGAGCAAUCUAAUUGAUGAUCCGUUUUACUCGUUACCAUACUGACUUGCCUCUAGGUCAGUAUAGGCUACAGGAAGUUUGUCUUUGGCAAAGAGUCUUCCUAAAGCCCAGUGGAAAUUCUCAAGUUUCUGCCUUCACUUUCAACUGCGGCUAAGAGAUGGAAGGAUCACAAGCAGGAGAGGAAACUUCUUGCCCUCAGUACCCUGCAGCUUUUUUUCUGGACCUGUGAUCCUCAGGAGACAAAGCUAUCUGAUGUCCCCAGGGCGACCUUUCCUUUUCAGUAGGUUUUAGUGCUUGAGGUUCAGCCCGCAGCCCUGUGAUUAACCACCUCCCCUGAGUAGACACAGAGCGCACUAUGUAUCACUACUGGAAACACAAAGCCCUUCAUCCUACAAAACUGUAUCAGCAAGGAGAUACCGCGCGGUGCCCCGUGGAUCCCUGUGGAUGUGCGUUCCCCACCACUGACACAGAUGGCGAGCAACAGAAUCCUCCGUGACCCAUUUUUAGAUCCAUUUGACACCUGCUUCAUAUGCUCGUGUAAAACCAGAGAUUUCAAGCUGAAAAAAAGCUUGCCAUAGUUGUUACUGGAUUAGAGGGAAUCUUUUUUUCAGCUCAUACAACAAAUUCCUUUUCCGCCUCUGGAGAGACCCACUUUAAGCUUUAGUCUAAUGGCAGGAUUGGAGAGGUUCUUUAAGCCCCCGUGGUGGCUGCAGCAUCCGUGGUUUGACAGAGAGGGGAGGCGUGGGACAGUGUGUGCAAAGUGACUGGGGCUUGUGGUUGACAAAGGGUAGUGAUGCGUCUCAACAUUCUUGUGCGCUUGCUUUGGGGGUGUGGAGCCACGUGGUGGGGUGGGGAGUGGAGAAGAGAGCAUUUUUCUUCUCUGAUUCAGUGUGGAUCUGCAGUUUUCCUUCUCCAUGAGCAGUGCAGAACUUUCCCAAAGCUGAAGAGAGUUCUCAGUCUUGCCUUUGUCUGGAAAAGCGUGUUUUAUAGCAUGAGAGCAAGGGAUAAGUGCAGCCUAAAGGGCCUGAGUCAUAUGAGCUGUCACUUAGCCAUCUAUCUAAUACCGAUUAACUACAAGACAGUUUUAGAUUUUCUUCUCUUUUUUUUCCCAAAGAAAUCAACUCAUGACUCAGUACCACAAAAAUGAAAAAGGGAAAAUUCAGGGUAGUCUCAUUUUUGGCUGAGUGAAUGAAGGACUCUUAGAUGACCCGACAUUUAUUUCCUCCUCUUACAGUGCAAACUGCAUUUUUGCUGUAGCUGGAACACUGAUUCUUACCACAAGCAGAACAGCAUGAAUGUGAGGCUGUUUGAAGAGGGGGCCUUGAUGGACAGUUGUUUUUAAAGGACUGCUUUCCUGAGAAAUGGACUUGAGUAACUCAGGCACCAUAUGCUUCCUGCUGUGCAAAGGCAUGGGUAAAUUUCUGUAUGGUUGGGCACUGGAAGUAAAUGCGGCAUAAGAAAUAGGUUUGGACACAGAACGCAGAUCCAUACUUAGUGGAUGGAAUUCAUAACACCACUGUACGGAGGCACUGGGUUGUGAAAAAGAAUCUGACUUUGGUGAGGUGAAGGAUGCAUUUUCGACCAAGGACUGAACUGAAUCAGUAGACUUAGACUAGAUAUCAGGAAGCAGUUAUUUACUGUGAGUGUGGUGAGACACUGGAACAGGUUGCCCAGAAAGGUUGUGAAUGCCCCCUCCCUGGAAGCAUUCAAGGCCAGGCUGGAUGGGACUUUGAGCAACCUGGUCUAGAGGGAGGUGUCCCUGCCCAUAGCAGAGGGUUGGAACUGGAUGAUAUUAAAGGUCCCUUCCAACCCAAACCAUUCUAUGAUUCUAUGACUGGACUCAGCCUUCAGAGCUGGCAGCACAUUUCUCAAUGUAAUGGCCUCCUAGAAGUUUACAUGCUGCAAUAAUGACAGAGUUUGAAGACCCCCAGUGUGUUCCCUAUUCAACUUCAGUUGGUUGAUUUUUUUCUGGGCAUGUCUGAGCUGGAGCUCAGCAGCAGUCCUCUCCCAAAAGUGAUUUAUACGAAAGAUCUGGCAUCCCCGGUUUCUAUUGAAUUGCAGUCCCUGCAAAUGGUCUGAUAAAAUCAGAUACUCUGAUAAAAAUCUCUACGCUUAUUCUUUGAUUACUGAGCAAGCUCAAUUUCAUCAUGGUGAAGUAGAAGCCAGCGGUUACAAUUACCUUUCCUUCCUUUCAUCUGGCUUUUAAUAUUUGGAUUUAAGAUGGAAAAAUUACAAAUGAAUAAAUCUGCACCAAGUCUAGUCAAGAUUUUUCUCUGUAUAAUAAUAUUAUUCAUAUCUCUAUGAUUAGCAACAGCUGGAAUAAAUUUUAGUAAAAAUAUAUUAAAAUCUGCAUUGUGGAGUAAGCCACAUGGAGUCACUGUAAUUUGAGGAAGGAAAAAGUUUUCAUAAAAGCUACUGAGAAAGGAAUAUGGAUUUUUCUUUCAGGUGACUUUUUUCCAUUUUGUUUUCGCAAGCAGAUCUGGUUUUAUUUCACUGUGCUCAACUUUCUGGUGCUCGUGUUGGACAAACACUUGAGAUACAGCAGUACCUCAACCAGCCACGCUGGACACUGCUUCUUCUCACUAAACCAAGGUGUACCGAGCUGCUCAAGCUGUGUUAAAGCAAAGUUUUCAGCUGCCAUUACAAUGACCUAAUCCAGUGCUGGUGCUAUAUCAGCUGGAAAGCUAUUAGGCAGCUCCACUUUUCACCUGCAAACAUCAUCUGUACCAGCUGCUGUUUUCAGAAAGUGGCUGAGAAAUGCGCAGGCAGCCAAUAGAUCAGUUAGAAUCAAAGCAAUAAAACUCUGUACAGCUUCUCGAGAGAAAUAAUUUGAAACCCCAGUUCAGUGGCCAACUGAAAAGGGCAGCAUCAGGAGGAAGUAGAGUGGGGAAGAGGCAGCUGGGAAUUACUGGAGCAGCUUUUCAGUGCUCCCUUUUCUCUCUGCGUUGUUCCAUAUGUCUAAAUGACCCUCAGACUGGAGGUGGGCUGAAGUGGACCCUCCUUAGAGGUCCUUGCUUCUUCAGUAGUCAUCUGCACUCCUGAGAAUCUGCUGUAGACAGAUAACAUAUGUUGCAAAGCGUGAGGAAUUUUUAAUAAAAAUAUAAAGAACUUUCUGAAUGAAAGUGAUUACCUAAGUGUGGGAAUGCCAGAGAGAAGAGCGGAAUGGUAGGUGCAGAUGGCACCUCAGCCAGCAGGUCAUCAAGGUGACAACGGGUCUGUGUGAGACUAACCAGAACCUCCUAAAACCGAAGACAGUCUACACAGCGAGCAAAAUGAAGGACAGGCUAAUAAACCAGAGCCCUCAAGAAGUGAUGAAAGGAAGAAAAAAGCAGGCAAGGAGCCAUAAAACACCCAGAUAAGGACAGAAAAGCAAAUACUAAGCCAGGGGUGGAACAGGAUGAGGAAACAAAAGAUCACACUGUCAACUCUUAGGAGAUCCAAGAGCAGCACUUGGCUUCCAGUCCGUGGAGAACCUAGGCGACAUGUUGAGAUGCCUACAGAUGUCCCUUUCCAUCUUCACCACCACAAGUCACCUGGGCCAGAGCACCUGGACCCAUCCAUUUUGGUGUUUGGAAGCAUGAAGGUAUGUGAAUGUGUAAACCCUGUUUUGUUUCAAGUAAAAUCCCCUCUGUCCUGUUUCAGCUCACAUAGCAGUUUGUUGCAUGGUUACGGCUGUGUUACAAAAUGAGUUUGGCAAGGUUAUUGAUAAGAGCUACAUAUACUAAUGUUACUUGACUAUUCAUCUACCUGAGUACAAACUUCUGGCUUGCCUGAAAUGCUCUAUAGAGACAUACAAGUGUUCUUCCUGUUCUCCCCGCAGGCAAACACAAGCUCAGGAUUGCAGCUCCUCCUGUUAGUGGGUGCCACAGGGCUCCUUCCUCCCAGGCUCUGGGAUCACAUCUUCUCUCCAAGGAGGCGAGUGAUGAGCUCACCAAUGUUGGUAAAAAUGAAUUUGAAAGUCUAACUGGUUAUCACUGGAUAUCACAGAUGGAGAAUAAUUACUUGACAGAUUGGCAAACUGAGAUUAUCUGCAAAUAUUAUGAGAGACAUUGGAAGCUCUUCUAAAACACGCCAUUAUUUUAAAUAGCAUUUUGCAAUUGUGGUACCUCCCUUGUGGAUACUGUGGCUGAAUAUUGCAAGUAUGAAAAACAAUGCCAUAGUUGAAGGUUUGUCGCUGAAAAGCACCACCUCGUGUUUCCUACACCCUGCUUCCCACAGCGAGACUUAUUCUAGAGUAGAAAAUAAAUGAAGAGCAGUGUUGGCUCCUUGUACUCCACACAGCCCUCACUCACCCCUUUUGAUGUCAGCUGAAAGGGUGCUGUUGAAUUGGAGAGGACCCGUACAGAAGACAGCAGUUCCUGGAGUCCUACAAGACUCUGUCAGGGAGAUCUUGGUAUUUUACCUCAUACCUUCUUCAAAAAUGAUAAACCAGAAGACAAGUAAACUGUGUUAUAACAUGAAGGAUAAAAUCCAUAAUUCAGGACAGCACAGAAAGCACCUGGUUUCGUGCUUCAUUUCCAUUUCUAAACAUAGAAGAGAUUCACAGAAGCAUCUGCUGAGCUUUUGAAUGACUUUGGAUCAGUCGUAAGUGCCUGUAUGCCAAAAGCAAACCAAACACACACAUGAAAACAGGCAAAUUGCAGUGACACCAGGUCAGUUUACAUCCCAAACCGAUAGCAAGUCUGCUUUGGUAACGAAUGCACCCAAUAGAAAGAAUGCAGAAACUUUGCAUGUUCUUCACAACAUGAGAAUGCUGAACAUUAAACAGUUGCAAAAAAUAUGUACUUAACCUUUGGGUUUUAUAUCCCUGCUUUUCAUUCUCUCCGCUUAUAGAUAAGGACAGUCAGAUUAGAUGGAGAUUUGCAAGUGGUAAAAGACGUUGUUGUUCAAGGAAUAGUUUCUAUUCGUUAUGGUAAAUACUUGGUCAAAGCAAAACUUGAGAUUUUGGGAUAGCCACGUUGUGUGCCUGAGAUCACUGAGUUACAGCCUGAGGGCCACAGCAAAAUCAGGGGAAAUUUCAGAGAGCAGAUCAGACCUUUUGGAGUGUCGUUGACUGUACAGAAGAAAUGUCUUCAUUUGCUUGGUUUGAAGGGCUCCCAGGGAAAAAAAAAAAAAAAGUUUAUAUAUAUUACCUGGAGUACAGAAAUAAUGAGAAAUGUCAAUCUUGCUCUCUGCUUGCCUGGGGGAUUUUCUUCUCCUCAGAGGGGUGCAAUAUUCACCUCUGCUGGCUAUCUGAUAAAGAAAAAUAUGUGGUUAGACUGGAAUCACUUCUAAGCUACCAGAGCCAGGAUGAAUCAGCCAAACCUGUCGAAGGUGAUGUCAUUUGUCACCCUCCAGACAUGAAAAAGUGGACAUC
ensembl:lncRNA